rnacentral:rRNA from 1 species
CCUACGGGAGACAGCAGUGGGGGAUCUUGCACAAUGGGGGAAACCCUGAUGCCGCGACGCCGCGUGGGUGAAGAAGCGCCUCGGCGCGUAAAGCCCUGUCAGCAGGGAAGAAAAUGACAGUACCUGAAUAAGAAGCCCCGGCUACCUACGUGCCAGCCGCCGCGGUCAUACGUAGGGGGCAAGCGUUAUCCGGAUUUACUGUGUGUAAAGGGGGCGUAGACGGCGAUGCAAGCCAGGAGUGAAAGCCCGGGGCGCAACCCCGGGACUGCUGUUGGAACUGCGGGGCUGGAGUGCGGGAGGGGCAGGCGGAAUUCCUGGUGUAGGGGUGAAAUGCGUAGAUAUCAGGAGGAACACCGGUGGCGAAGGCGGCCUGCUGGAACGCAACUGACGUUGAGGCGCGAAAGCGUGGGGAGCAAACAGGAUUAGAUACCCCUGUAGUC